rnacentral:rRNA from 1 species
UACGAAGGGGGCUAGCGUUGCUCGGAAUCACUGGGCGUAAAGCGCACGUAGGCGGCUUUCUAAGUCAGGGGUGAAAUCCUGGAGCUCAACUCCAGAACUGCCUUUGAUACUGGAGAGCUAGAGUCCGGAAGAGGUGAGUGGAACUGCGAGUGUAGAGGUGAAAUUCGUAGAUAUUCGCAAGAACACCAGUGGCGAAGGCGCUCACUGGCCCGAUACUGACGCUGAGGCGCGAA